CCACGCCGCUAUCUCAGCCUCAACAUCGUAUUCAAACAUCUCAUCAUCUUCUCUUCGAUUCACGAUUCUGCAUUGACGCGACUCACUUGCAGUUACGGAUGCGAUGUUCUUGAAGGUUGAUGACAAAGUGUCAAUGAAUCAGAGGAGAGUUGAAGAUCGUGAAGGUUGUAAAAAGGUUGAAGAUCGAUUAAAGAAGCCAAAGUUGAAGGAGAUGGUAAAGUUGAAGCGUGAAGGCGAAGCAGGCUGAAGGUUGUUAUGCGUUGAUGUUGUUGUUCGUUGUUGAUAGAAAUUCGAAGAUUGAUGUUGAUGAACGAUGAAGAGGAUUUGAGAUUGGUUCUGUGAUCGAAGGUUGGUGAUUCAGAGUUUUUGUGUUGAAGUUGUUCGAUGAAGAAUUCUCGAUUGAAGAAUGAAGAUGAAGAUUCAAGAGCGUUCUCAGUUUGUUACAGUGAGUGAAUGGUGAUGUUGAGGAUUCAAGAUGAUGGAGAGGAUUGCAACGUGAAGGUGAUAGAAGACGACGCUGAGAAAGUUGAAUGAGGGAGAGAGGCUUGUUGGUUGAAGAGAGAGAG